UUAAAGUCAGAACUGCAAUGGAAAUAACUUAGUCCACACCUUUGUUGAUUUGAUCACGUGACAAUGUAAGCCAAUGAAAAAACAUCAACAAACAGGCAGCCAUUCAGGAAGAGAGAGGGUUUAUUUCAGAGCGAUAAUUUAAAUGUACUAGCAAGGUUAAACUGCAUAAUGUGCUUGUGAAGUUUAAAAGUUAAGUGUAGAUGUGUUUAUGGAGUUAAAGCAUUGGUAUUGGCACAACUAAGGCGUUGGGAGGCACAGAUAUAGCGAAGUGUUCAGGUUUGGCUUUGUUUGUGGAGUUGAAGAGUCGAUAUUGGCAAAUUUGGAACAUUGGUAGAUUGAUAGUAAAGUGUGCGUGUUAUUGGCAAAUGUAGAACAUAGGAAGAUAAGGUUAUAGUGCAUUGUGCAGGCACUCUACCAUGCACUCUUGAUGUAGAGUACUCCUACCCUUUGGAUUAUGCCCAGCAAGUGCACUAUCCCAAUUCCCUAUUCUCAAUAUGUUGGUUCAAUAUAUAUUAGGACCCCAAGAAAGUUCCAUGAGAUUUGUGUUUGUGCAGAGGGAUCAGGACUUCAUGGAAGUGUCAGUCUCAACAUGCUCUGGAAAGUGGAGAAACAAUGCAACAGGUUGCCAGUAUUGUCCCACAGUCAUCAAGACAUGGUCACAAUAUCCCACUGCUUAUAGAUGAUCUAAAAAGCCAUUGAAAGUCAUUUUAAUAGUAAAACCCAUGAGGCCUGCUGCUAUAAGGACUAAUGCUAUAUUGACUAGUGUGUGGAUCAUAUUAAUUAAUGGUUGCCUAUGUCAGCUUACCAGUAACUUACUUCCAUAAUGUUAAAACAUUUCAUGUGAUUGUGUUUUGUGUAAUACAACAUUUGUCAUGUCACUUUAAGUAUAGAAUUGCAUUGAACCUAUGCAUUUUAUGAAUUGAUCAACUGUAAUCCUGUCUUUAUAAGUUUUUAAAGUCUUGAUUUCAAGAUAAAUAAACAGUUUUAGUUGUU